UACGAAGGGGGCUAGCGUUGUUCGGAUUUACUGGGCGUAAAGCGCACGUAGGCGGAUCGUUAAGUCGGGGGUGAAAUCCUGGAGCUCAACUCCAGAACUGCCUUCGAUACUGGCGAUCUUGAGUCCGGAAGAGGUGAGUGGAACUCCUAGUGUAGAGGUGGAAUUCGUAGAUAUUAGGAAGAACACCAGUGGCGAAGGCGGCUCACUGGCCGGUACUGACGCUGAGGUGCGAAAGCGUGGGGAGCAAACAGG
rnacentral:rRNA from 1 species